AUGGAGAAGCAAAGGGUGGCCAUCGUCGGCGCCGGCAUGAGCGGCCUCACGGCAUGCAAGCACGUGCUUGAGCGCGGCUUCCGGCCCGUCGUGUUCGAGGCCGAGGCGGACGCCGUCGGCGGCGUGUGGGCGCACACGCUCGCCUCGACGCGCCUGCAGACCCCACGGUCACAGUACGAGUUCACGGACUUCCCGUGGCCGCCGGAGGUGCCGGAAUUGUACCCGAGCCACGACCAGGUCAUGGAGUACUUGUGCUCCUACGCGCGCCACUUCGGCGUGCUAGAGUGCGUCAGGUACGGCAGUCGGGUCACCGCUCUGGAGUACUCCGGCGCCGCCGACGAGGAGGAGAUGAUGGCGUGGGAGCAGUGGGCCGGCAACGGCGAGGCGUUCGGCAGCGGUCGGGGCGAGUGGCGGAUCACCGUGCAGCACGGAGACGACGUCGAGACACACGUGGCCGACUUCGUGGUGCUAUGCGUUGGACGGUACAGCGGCAUCCCCAACAUUCCAACUUUCCCACCGGAGAAAGGGCCAGAGGCCUUUAAUGGCACGGUGAUCCACUCCAUGGAUUACUCCAACAUGGAUGAUGCAAAAGCCACUGAGCUCAUCAAAGGCAAGCUCGUCACCGUCGUCGGCUAUCAAAAGUCUGCUCUCGACAUCGCCACAGAGUGCGCAAAUGUGAAUGGUCCGACACAUCCUUGUACAAUGAUUGUUCGGACAAAGAGAUGGAUCAUCCCUGACUUAUAUGCUUGGGGUGUCCCGGUUCCUUUCUUGUGCUUCAAUCGCUUGUCCGAACUACUAGUUCACAAGCCAGGAGAGGGGCUGCUCCUUAGCCUGCUGGCUACCUUCUUGUCACCCCUGAGAUGGAUACUCUCAAAGUUUGUGGAGAGCUACUACAUGUGGGCGGUGCCCAUGAGGAAGCAUGGCAUGGUGCCGGAACACAGCUUCUUUCAAGCUCUCAGCUCAUGGCUGAUUGCAAUAAUGCCAGACAAAUUCUACGACAAGGUGGAGCAGGGAAGCAUUAUCCUCAAGAAAGCAAACAAAUUUAGCUUCUGCACAGAAGGUGUCAUCGUACCAGGCGAGCCCGCACCGAUCAAGAGCGAUGUCGUGAUCUUUGCGACCGGGUACAAUGGGGAUCAGAAGCUCAGAGAGCUGUUUGCCUCACCUCUCUUCAGAGAGAUCGUUGUUGGCACGCCAGUUACUGCGGUCCCUCUCUACAGGCUAUGCGUCCACCCCAGGAUUCCUCAGCUAGCAAUCGUUGGCUACUCCGAGAGCAUGGGAGAUCUACACACCUCGGAGAUACGGUCCAAAUGGCUGGCGCAUUUCCUUGAUGGGGGAUUUAGUUUGCCUGCCAUAAGAUCGAUGGAGGAAAAUGUGAAGGAGUGGGACGCAUACAUGAAACGCUACUUGGGCGACUACUUCCGUCGAUCUUGCGUCGGUUCUAUCGGUAUCUGGCACAACGACCAGCUGUGCAAGGACAUGGGGUGGGAGCCUAGGAGGAAGAAGGGCUUUCUGGCUGACUGGUUGAUUCCCUAUGAACCUGCAGAUUACGCAAGUGUCAAUCCGAGGAACUAG
rnacentral:rRNA from 1 species